rnacentral:rRNA from 2 species
ACGGAAGGUCCGGGCGUUAUCCGGAUUUAUUGGGUUUAAAGGGAGCGUAGGCCGGAGAUUAAGCGUGUUGUGAAAUGUAGACGCUCAACGUCUGCACUGCAGCGCGAACUGGUUUCCUUGAGUACGCACAAAGUGGGCGGAAUUCGUGGUGUAGCGGUGAAAUGCUUAGAUAUCACGAAGAACUCCGAUUGCGAAGGCAGCUCACUGGAGCGCAACUGACGCUGAAGCUCGAAAGUGCGGGUAUCGAACAG